UAGAAGUUUCUUUUGCCCGA
rnacentral:siRNA from 1 species